GAUAAGGGAAGGAAUUAAACCCUCUUAAGUAGGACUACAGCCUACCGCCUAACAGUCGGCCACUUUACC
rnacentral:tRNA from 1 species